rnacentral:lncRNA from 10 species
UUUUCUGAGAUGUCUUCUCUGGCCCUUUCCCCAUCCUGGAUAGAGGAAAGGUCCACUCCAACAUGAAGACACUGGGAGGAAAGAAAGAAUAAUGAAGGAAGCUAAAAGUGGAAUCACUGGGAUAGGAGAAGAAACAAAGAAAGUCCAUCCAGGAAGCCGACCCAAAGGUAAGUGAAAGGUAGAUGGCAUUCUUGUUUGUAUACAGAGGAAACAACUGGAGCUUGGGGGAGUGAAGACGCCUUUGGUUUGCUGACUCCUGUUCUGGGGCUCCAUGGUAAGUGGGAGAAAAGCACAGCCUCAUAGGUUCUUUGGGAAAUGCUCUGAAGUAUUCUUGGGAAUAAGGAGGGGUCUAUUCCCGGGAUGUAAAUGUCCUGCAAUGUACAAUGCAACCCCACCCCGCCAUCAAAUGAAGAUUAUCCUGCUAUAAAUGCCAGGAGCACCCUCAGGGAGAAACACUGUACUUGGACAACAUAGAUCUACAGAACGUUGCUCUUGCAUAUGGGGGCUUUAAUGGCUGCCCCCAAGAAUCCAGCUGGGACCCAGACAAACAUUUUAUUCAUUUCCCAAAUCACUAACCCAGAGCCAGUUUUAUGGUCAUAUCCCCCC